rnacentral:lncRNA from 1 species
GUAUCCUAAUGGUAUUCUAUAUCGAUUAUUUUACUGGUAAGCAUAGAGAAAUUCAUUAAGCAUGUAUUGAAAGACUAAUAUCACUGAUAGGAAACAUAACCCAUGUUGAUAGAACUCAUUAUCAUCUGAUACUAAAUCUGUCAGAUAAGUAAGCAAAGUAAAAUAUCAGUGGCCAAAGAUCAUUGAAAAUAAAUAAAAUUAAACCUUAUCCUAUUCCAAAUGCUGACACGAUAAAUUCUAUAAAACUUCUUUCUUACCUUAAUUGUACUUUAUAAAUAGUUUCAUUUUCAUUAUUCAAUAAAUUCUUAUUUUUUAGCUUUGAAUUUGUAUUUGUGUUGUUCAGUGUUUGACAGAAAGGGUUGGAGCACUAGAAGAAAAAGUUGAAGCACUUCUCAAGUUAUCUCAGGUUAUGUACUUUAUCAUUUUAUAUAAUAUGAUAACAUAGCUUUACAUAACUACGUAUAAUAACUUUUUAAUUUUUUUAUUAUUUUACAAAGUCAAAAUAAGAAUGUAGAUGACAUGAGUUCACGUGCUUUUACUCCUCAGGUUAUGUAUCUUAUAUUAUUUAUUGUUUGUUCAAUAUAAAUUCAGACUAUAUAGCGUACUAAUUUUAAAAAGAAUAUUUUCAUUUUAUUGUGAAUUUGUAGUCCCAACAAGGAAGUGGUAUCCAGGGAGGGACUACACAUUUGGAAAAUUCAAGGUGUCAAUUAUUGCAUUGGUACCGAUAUGAUGAGGAAGAAAUCGUAGAAGGGAAGAUUGCAUCAAUCGACCUAAAUGCAAAGGUGCACCACAUGCCACUUGGACGAGAUUGUUGGAAGGUUUGGGUUGAAAAAGUGUAUAUGGGUCAUUUAACCUUAUGUAGACCUACUGAUGAAUUUCGAGUUCUGAGUGAAGCCAUGGGAAGUACUGUUGCUUGGCCAAAUAGUAGUGUUAGACUCAUUUGACGAAAACUCCCAUUGAAACUAGACAUCUUCAAGAGACAUUACACCCAUAUGAGCAGUGUGCUCAUGAAAGACUUUGGGUAUCAAUCCCUUAGUAAGCAGAUCCGUAACCAUGGAGUUUGUCCCAAUAUGCUCUAUUGAUACCUGUCCACUCUGAAUUCUUUCUUUAACAAUCAGGAACUUGAUUUCUAUAUAUUUUGACUUCGUCAAUCUCCUGUUGUUAUUGGAAUACAACAUUGUUGAUUUAUUGUUACGAAAUAACUUGAGCGGUCUUUCUACACUAUUCACAAUGCGCAGCCCAGUGACAAAAAUUAUACAGUCAUA